UCCCCGCUCGCGGCUCGAACCUAGCGCCGGACCCUGCGCUCGGCCCCUGACUCCACGACUAGCCUGGAGGCUACCAGUCCCGCGCCCCGCCUCGCACCCCCACGCCUGACCCGGCGCGCAACUCUCUUGCGGAGGGCAGCCUGGCGCCACGCCCCGGGGCCGUCGGAAGGGCCUACAGGUUGGGGUGUCUGCUGGGCUCGCUGCGGCUCCCCCAAAACGGUCCCCCGUGCGCCAGACAGCGGGCAGGAGGCACAAGGCGGGAGACACCCGAGCCGCAGCCUAGAGUGCUGCUGACCGGCGGCGCACCUGACAACCUUGCUUCUCUCUGGCCACUCACCACCUCCUCCUCACUGGGGUCCAGGUGGAUUUAAUCUUUACCGUGAUGCCAUUUUUCACCUUCAGAACUUUUUGCCACCUGGAAAGGCUGAGAAUAAGUUUUGAUUUUCCAACGUAGCGAGAACUUGCUUGGACACACGUCAUCUACCUGCUGCCAGAACAGGGAGCAGCUACUUCUUUGCCUCCCUCAGCCAAGCACUCACUGCCAGUGUCCACCUGCUGCCUGCUCCAAAGUCAGUGUCAGAUUUUAGAAUUUCACUGCAGCAGGAUCUCACUCCUAAGUGCCAACUUCUGUCCCGGGCAUCUACGGCUGCAUCACAAAC